rnacentral:tRNA from 1 species
GCCGGGAUGGCGGAAUUGGUAGACGCGUUGGUCUCAAAAACCAAUGAUCGCAAGAUCGUGGGGGUUCGAUUCCCCCUCCCGGCA